rnacentral:misc_RNA from 1 species
UCAUAGUUUAAGAUGAUACCGGGGAAGGUUUUCCGGUUUAUCCCGGAGGGCUUGUAGCUCAGUUGGUUAGAGCGCGCGCUUGAUAAGCGUGAGGUCGGAGGUUCAAGUCCUCCCAGGCCCACCAAUUUAUGCUCAUUUAUUGUUGCUUAUUCUAAGCCCAUGAAGCUUAAGCGUGAAGCCUCUUUAAUCUUUGUUUAUUGUUAAAGAUUUUGUCUUAUCCUUCAAAGAUUGUUUAAGAUUAUUUUUUAAACCCGUGAAAUUUUGUUAAAAUAGCUUAGGCUAUGCAAGUUGAUAAAAUGGGUUAAGGUUGA